rnacentral:rRNA from 1 species
CCUACGGGAGGCAGCAGUAGGGAAUAUUGCUCAAUGGGGGAAACCCUGAAGCAGCAACGCCGCGUGGAGGAUGAAGGUUUUCGGAUUGUAAACCCCUUUUGUUAGAGAAGAUAAUGACGGUACCUAACGAAUAAGCACCGGCUAACUCCGUGCCAGCAGCCGCGGUAAUACGGAGGGUGCAAGCGUUAUUCGGAAUUACUGGGCGUAAAGAGCGCGUAGGCGGGAUAGCAAGUCAGAUGUGAAAUCCUAUGGCUUAACCAUAGAACUGCAUUUGAAACUGUUAAUCUGGAGUGUGGGAGAGGUAGGUGGAAUUCUUGGUGUAGGGGUGAAAUGCGUAGAGAUCAAGAGGAAUACUCAUUGCGAAGGCGACCUACUAGAACAUAACUGACGCUGAUGCGCGAAAGCGUGGGGAGCAAACAGGAUUAGAUACCCCAGUAGUC